UUGGAGGGCAAGUCUGGUGCCAGCAGCCGCGGUAAUUCCAGCUCCAAUAGCGUAUAUUAAAGUUGUUGCAGUUAAAAAGCUCGUAGUUGAACUUCGGGAUCAAUGGAUUGGUCAUGCCGUUGGUAUGUACUGGUCAUAUUGGUUCUCACCUUCUAAGGAACCUUAAUGUCAUUCAUUUGAUGUUUUGGGGAAUUAGGACUGUUACCUUGAAAAAAUUAGAGUGUUUAAAGCAGGCUAACGCUUGAAUACAUUAGCAUGGAAUAAUGAAAUAGGACAUCGCAUUCUAUUUUGUUGGUUUCUAGGAUCGAUGUAAUGAUUAAUAGGGAUAGUUGGGGGCAUUAGUAUUCAAUUGUCAGAGGUGAAAUUCUUGGAUUUAUUGAAGACUAACUACUGCGAAAGCAUUUGCCAAGGAUGUUUUCAUUAAUCAAGAACGAAAGUUAGGGGAUCGAAGACGAUCAGAUACCGUCGUAGUCUUAACCAUAAACUAUGCCGACUAGGGAUCGGAUGAUGUUAAUUUUUUAAUGACUCAUUCGGCACCUUACGGGAAAC
rnacentral:rRNA from 1 species